UACGUAGGGGGCAAGCGUUGUCCGGAUUUAUUGGGCGUAAAGAGCGUGUAGGCGGCUUGGUAGGUCCGCUGUGAAAACUCGAGGCUCAACCUCGAGAUGUCGGCGGAAACCACUUGGCUAGAGUCCGGAAGAGGAGAGUGGAAUUCCUGGUGUAGCGGUGAAAUGCGUAGAUAUCUGGAGGAACACCGGUGGCGAAGGCGGCAUCCUGGACCGGCAUUGACGCUGAGGCGCGAAAGCCAGGGGAGCAAACGGG
rnacentral:rRNA from 1 species